rnacentral:ribozyme from 1 species
CGACCAAGCACACGGGCCUGCUGGUCUCGUCGAUUGUCGAGCAUGGCUGCAA